rnacentral:rRNA from 1 species
UACGUAGGGUGCGAGCGUUAAUCGGAAUUAUUGGGCGUAAAGCGCGUGUAGGCGGCUUUGCAAGUCGGGUGUGAAAGCCCUCAGCUCAACUGAGGAAGUGCGCCCGAAACUGCAGAGCUUGAGUACCGGAGAGGAUGGCGGAAUUCCCCAAGUAGAGGUGAAAUUCGUAGAUAUGGGGAGGAACACCGGUGGCGAAGGCGGCCAUCUGGACGGUCACUGACGCUGAGACGCGAAAGCGUGGGUAGCAAACAGG